GUAAAAGAAAAUGUACUGUAUUAUUAAUGUUGGUAGUAAAAAGGGAUGCUAAGACAUGUAUUGUAUAAAAUAAACGUUUAUAUCCCUAUAUAAUACAAUUGGACCACUAGUUUUGGAAAGGGCAUAAGUCACUAAAAAUAUUUAUUAAUCUAAUUACAUCGCUGUAUAAAUGUUUGUUGCAAGAAGUUUCUUAUUUGGCAUGACUAGAAACUUUCCUACAGGCAUACAAACUUAUAAUAUAUGUUAGAAA